AAAUCGGAGCCAUUCUAGCGUCGAGGCCCAGGUUUGAGGCCAUGAUGACUCAACGCAGCAUCCCCUCCCGUGACAAACAGCGGUCUCCGCCUAUCCCCAAUCAAUCUCAACCAGGCACUCUGGGCGCCAGGAUUCCCAGUACUUAGCUGGUGGGUAAAGGGGCUCAUCCCCUUCCCCAUAACCCAGCAGGCUAGACGUCCUCUCUACCCAGUCUUCUGGAGUGCGGAGCUCUCGCCAGGAUUCUGCUCUCGAAGGGUUUGAAGGAUGUAACCUCCAGACCGGGAAUUUAAGACGCAAGAACCAGCCAGCGAAUGUGGCAGCCUAGCUCUCGACUCCCAGAACCACCUUCUCAUGGGUGGCACUGCUCACGGUGACAUGAACCCUUUCCCUAUCAAUCAUCAAUCAUCAAUGAAGAAUAUGCACUAUAGACUUGCCUAAGCCAAUCGGAUGUACACAAUUCCUCAGAGAUGACAUCUCACCAGUUGCCUCAAGCUGCUGUCGUUGUGACUUCCCUGCUAUAAGAGACCAUCUCCAGACACUAUGAGCCAAUAUCCAUCGUCUUAGAGAGUGGAAGAGAAUAGUCAAGCCUUCCCACAGGCCACUUGCCAACAAGACCUCAAGGUUCAUUCACCUGCCGAGCCUCUGGUAAGCCCUCUGCCCCGUGCCUGGUGCUAUACUAGUAGCUGAGAUCAAGGCAGUAGCAAGACCUUCAAGGCACCCAGAUCUGAAGUCUACUUGAAAGCUGAACCAUGCCACAGCCAUGUUCUGUUUCCCUCCAGCUAGGAUUUUCAUUGUAUCUCUCUCCUCCACUAAGACUGGGACCUGCUCACAUCUUUCUGCAUCCUAAGAGCAUGUUCUUCCAUGGAAGGCAUGUUACGGAAUGGGAUGUAUCAUUGGAGACGCAGAGGAAGGUGAUGGCUGCAGAAGAAAUAACCAGUGGGUUAGUUGGAGGCUGUAAAACCUGGUAUUUCACUGAAUAGAAGAGGCCGAUGGAGCCAAGAAGCCAACAAAAUGUAAGCGAC